UCCUUUGAUUUUGAUAUUUUAUAUGUGCGGAUAUGUGGUCGCGCUUCUGUAUUGGGUGUGUCUGAUACUGCGGUCGCUGUGUAGUGGUCGUCAUUUUUUUAAAAAUGGUAUUGUUCAGAUUAGUUUGUUUACCCUCGUUAAAAUGUGAUCACAUAGGAAAUUCCCGGUGCUCAGCACGUAAAAAAUGCUCUACGAUGGUUUUGGGUGUGUCUGGUACUGCGAUCGCUAUCUAAUGGUCGUCGUUUUUAUUUUUAUUGUAUUAAUAGAUUAUUGGAUAUUAGUCUGCUUGCCCUCGCUCAAAUUACAGCACAUCAGAAAUCCGCUGUGUUCAGCUGAAGUUUUUCUACGCUGGCAGCCAGGCCUAGUUGUGUGUAGGCCUCCAUUUUGUAUGUAGCCACGAGUUUAGCUGGUGUCUACAAUGUUUUGAACUCUGAAAAUCACUUCGCUGGCUGGGAUCAUGCUGUUAUACAGCAGUGUCGAAAUAUCAGCGACUUUUUGUGGGAAAUAGUAGAGCCAUAAUGGCGCCACUUUGGACAAGGAAAAAAGUUGGGCAAAAUCUUCGAAGAAGCUGGCUAUUUUACCUGGUUUCUGGAUUGUGAUGGUAUGACACCCAAUUUCCUGAAGAACGGGCUUGUAAAAUUAAUCGGAGAAGACUGGCGGAUACGCAUCAAGCUCCCAACUCCUGAAAUGGCUGUCAGAGUAGACUACAACUCAACAUGGCUGUCCAUGUAGAACUACAUCCCCCACAAGCCUUGUGGCCGCAGGCCCCAGUGGACACCCGUCAUUGCUUGAGCUCACUCCAAACUGAGGCGGUUUCUGUGGCCAACAUUUGGAUUUUUUCUAACCUGAACCUGAGUCACAAGAUUACUGUAAGUUAUGGUGUGUGGGAAUCUUUUACGUUUAUUCUAAAACUGAAUCACUGGAAGUGUUGAAAAACAAAUACUUCCCCUUUAAAAUCUGCUUUGUAAUUGGUUUUAAAAUUGGCUGGAUAUUUCUUAUGAAUGUACUGCGCUCUGAUCUUAUUGGCUGAACCUCGGGGUGGAAACCUCACUGUUAAAGUCAGUAUUACUCUCAGCCCAUUUCUCUGCUGAACUCCUUCAACAAUUAAACAAAUGAUCUGGUGUGGUCUGUACUGUCCAGCAGGGGGAGACAGAACCAUCCUGUUUAGUUUUUCCACAGGAGUAGCUGCACAUUUGAAACUUACUGGAUAUAUUAUGUGCUGUUUAACCUGCUGUGUUAUGUUCAUACAGGUUAAGCCAGCUGUAUAAGGGUGACAUACAGAUGGGUCGGCCUGCUUUAUGAAGCUUUAUGAACAGUGUCUAAUCCUGUGGGUCUGAGCCAUGUGGGCCCAUCCCUGCUGGAGAGCUUGGUGUGCAGCUCUAGCAUGAAACCACCCCAUAUUUACACAGCAGAGAUUACACCCCAAGGAGUUUUAUUCGUUUGACAUGCAUUACAGGUUAUAACAGGUUAUAGCAGUGUGCACACGUGCACUCGUUCAGUUAUAUUCCUGUGGUGUUAUGGAGCAGUGUGUGAAUGCAGAAGAUAAAUCUGUCACUAUUCUGCUUUGGUAGGAAAGAGAAGAACCCAAAUAAUUUAACGCAAGUAACUGAAUAAACUUUUUCAUUACAUCCAGUGAUUAUCUUCAGCAUAAUGUAUGAAUUUACGGCCGUUUUGGAAUAUUUGUUUACAGAGUCCUACAUGUUCACCUGAUUGAUAAAUAAGCAUUGUGUGUUAA